rnacentral:sRNA from 1 species
GGGAGACCUUAUUAUCUUCAUUUUCCCAAUGAGAUGAGAAUCCCAAGCAGCACAUUCCCCUGGAGGAGUACGCUGCGAACCUGAAGAGCAUGGUGCAGUACCUGAAGUCCGUGGACAUCCCUGAGAAUCGAGUCAUUCUCAUCACGCCGACCCCACUUUGUGAAACAGCCUGGGAAGAACAGUGCAUCAUACAAGGUUGCAAACUAAAUCGCCUGAACUCUGUUGUUGGUGAAUAUGCCAAUGCGUGUUUACAAGUGGCCCAAGACUGUGGGACUGAUGUACUUGACCUGUGGACCCUGAUGCAGGACAGCCAGGACUUCUCAUCUUAUUUAUCAGAUGGACUACAUUUGUCUCCAAAGGGGAAUGAAUUUUUGUUCUCGCAUCUCUGGCCUUUGAUAGAGAAAAAGGUCUCUUCUCUACCUUUGCUGCUUCCUUACUGGCGGGAUGUAGCAGAAGCAAAACCUGAAUUAAGUCUGCUGGGAGAUGGAGACCAUUAGCCAAUCACAGGAGACCCAAAUCUGCUUGUUAUCUACAGAACUCAAAGUUGUCAAUAUGUAGAGGUACGCUUUUUUCCUCAGGCUUAAACCUUUGCCACUGAUAUUAAUAAUAUAUUAAUAAUAAAAGUAUUAGAUUUUUCAGGGAAGUUUUAUACUUAGGUCCAUUGUGUUUCG